rnacentral:rRNA from 1 species
GAUGAACGCUAGCGGAAGGCUUAAUACAUGCAAGUCGAGCGGUAGUCCCCUUCGGGGAAUGAGAGCGGCGCACGGGUGAGUAACGCGUACAUGACCUGCCUGUCAGAAGGGGAUAGCCCUGGGAAACUGGGAUUAAUACCCUAUGGUAUUGAUAUUAUGAAUGAUAUCAAUUAAAGUUGAGGCGCUGACAGAUGGAUGUGCGUCUGAUUAGCUAGUUGGUAGGGUAACGGCCUACCAAGGCGACGAUCAGUAGGGGGCGUGAGAGCGUGGUCCCCCACACGGGUACUGGGACACGGACCCGACUCCUACGGGAGGCAGCAGUAAGGAAUAUCGGUCAAUGCCCGCAAGGGUGAACCAGCCAUUCCGCGUGGAGGAUGAAGGCCCUAUGGGUUGUAAACUUCUUUUAGAUGGGAGGAAAAUGCUAGAUGUAUCUGGUACUGACGGUACGAUCAGAAUAAGCACCAGC